GCACCGCUGACUAUGCCUUCUUCUCUCUAUUUCCUUUGAUGAUGACCGAUACGGAAUAAACUAAGGCUGAUGGAGCGUAUAUCACUAUAAGCAGGAUAACCGAGCUAGUGUCAAAAGUCUUAUGGGCUGUUUUUAUAGUAGUAAUGAACGUACAGCCAAAAUAUCUGUUUUUCGCGGCUAUGAUCUUCAUGGAAUUCACGAGAAUCGGUUUUCUGCUGUCUGAGCAUACAUUGAUGGGCGCAUUUAUUAUGACAGAGAUAAUCGGAGUUGUACGACCGUGGCUGAUAGUGGCUCCAGCAACCUCUGGUCAUCAUCGAGAACAUUAGCAUAGAGAAGUUCGCAUCGGCUUACAGCAUCAAUGUCGUUAUUAGCGGUUUGGUAACAAUUGUAUUUGGUAACAAUUGUUUUUUUUUUAUCGAUUUAUCAAGUAUUGGAUACACAGGUAUAAAAUUUAUAUCUUUAUUGGUAAUGAACGGCGCUUCUAUUGUACCAUAGGCAGUACAAUUCGUAGUCGUGGAUUUUAAGAAACGGCGGACAAUGACAGCGUACAAUGACUAAGAAAUCGUUAUUCCCUGUUGAUCGGUAAAAAGCAAGGAAAAGUAUGAAAGGCUUUGUAUUCGGAAACGAUGGUGAUUUGCGAUGCACGAAUUCCUCAACAAGCAAGUGAGGUGAAGACAACGAUAGAAACGAAUAGUAUUUUUGUUCUUUAUUCGUUGACAGAUAUGUGGCACCUUAAAACAUACUAAAUACAUACUUGGAAUAUCUUCGAAACUUUGGGAAUUAGAGAAAAAUUUAUUUGACAGAAAUGACGUGGUGCAGAAACGAUCGUUUCA